AGGGAUCUCUCACCAUCGCAGCCGCUCCAUCGUCUUCAACCUCCAAACACCAUCGCCGCUCCAUCUCUCACGCCCACACAGACACGGCUGCCGUCCUCCGCCUCACGCCCAGCCGCCGUCCUCCGCCUUACGCCCUCGCCUCACGUCCAGUCGCCGCUGCUCCUCGCCGCCGAACUCCAGCUAGCCAACGCCGCUCGCCGCCGCCGACGAUGUUCAAAUGUCCGCUAGCCUCCCCAGCCAACAAAACACUCGCCGCCGCACUCCAUCGACUUUCCCCUCUGCUGCCAUCAGAACAGCCUCGCACAGCAGCCUCCUCGUCGUUCGCUGCGGUCGCACAGUAAAUGGAAAAAGGCAAUGCAUGCUGCUAUCCUAUGUACAUUGCUGAGACAUCACCGAGCCAGAUAAGAGGGCUGCUUAUUUCUCUUAAAGAGUUCCUCAUAGUCUUUGGAAUGCUAUUAGGCUAUACAGUUGGCAGCCUUAUGGUGGAAGUUGUUGCUGGUUGGCGGUAUAUGUAUGGAGUUAGUGUCCCAAUAUAAAUUAUUAUUGGAAUGUGGUGUUCUCAUUAGCUGAUUGUUCCUGCUAUAAAAAUUCUUUUACAUAUUUCUGCCUCCAAGAUGAGCAUAAUUUACAGUCUGAUGAUGCAGUUGAAUUCUUAGCUAUGUUCCAACCCCUAUCUUGGUUAUCAUUGAUGUCCAGCCUAAAGAACUUGGCAUAGCAACUAAGAAAUAUAUCACUCAUUUAGCAGUCUGGAUGCUUUGUUUCAUGAUUUUCACAGCUCAAUUGUAGCAGUGUGGAGCAGUUAAAAGAUAUUGGAUGCAAGUGGGUCAUUCCAUGUAGGUUGACUAGAUGAGCUGAAAGCAUGGUGUUGGAGUUCGAGGAUGAAAUAUAUUGUACAGAAAUUGUAUUAUUAUUAUUAUCAAAAAAGAUUAUAUU